GCCCCUAAGUCGAGGCUGAAAAGCGUAGACGAUGGGAAACGGGUUCAAUAUUCCCGUACCACCGGUUGAACAUUUGAGUGAUGGAGGGACGCAGAAAGCUAGGCUGGCUGUCGGUUGGAAAUGACAGUCUAAGUGUGUAGGGUAUUCCGUAGGUAAAUCCGCGGAUGUUUGCCUGAGACACGAUGGGA
rnacentral:rRNA from 1 species